AUUGAACGCUGGCGGCAGGCCUAACACAUGCAAGUCGAGCGGAUGAAGGGAGCUUGCUCCUGGAUUCAGCGGCGGACGGGUGAGUAAUGCCUAGGAAUCUGCCUGGUAGUGGGGGAUAACGUCCGGAAACGGGCGCUAAUACCGCAUACGUCCUGAGGGAGAAAGUGGGGGAUCUUCGGACCUCACGCUAUCAGAUGAGCCUAGGUCGGAUUAGCUAGUUGGUGGGGUAAAGGCCUACCAAGGCGACGAUCCGUAACUGGUCUGAGAGGAUGAUCAGUCAAACGGGAACUGAGAAAGGUCCAGACUCCUACGGGAGGCAGCAGUGGGGAAUAUUGGACAAUGGGCGAAAGCCUGAUCCAGCCAUGCCGCGUGUGUGAAGAAGGUCUUCGGAUUGUAAAGCACUUUAAGUUGGGAGGAAGGGCAGUAAGUUAAUACCUUGCUGUUUUGACGUUACCAACAGAAUAAGCACCGGCUAACUUCGUG
rnacentral:rRNA from 1 species